UACGUAGGGGGCAAGCGUUGUCCGGAUUUAUUGGGCGUAAAGAGCGUGUAGGCGGUCAGGUAGGUCCGUUGUGAAAACUCGAGGCUCAACCUCGAGACGCCGAUGGAAACCAUCUGGCUAGAGUCCGGAAGAGGAGAAUGGAAUUCCCGGUGUAGCGGUGAAAUGCGCAGAUAAUCGGGAAGAACACCCGUGGCGAAGGCGGUUCUCUGGGACGGUACUGACGCUGAGACGCGAAAGCGUGGGGAGCGAACAGG
rnacentral:rRNA from 1 species